CUUUUAUUUCAGAGCUAAUUUGAAGAAGCCAGGCGCUUUUCUCUUCCCCUCCCCAAGACUGCCUUUAUCUGAAAGAAGAAAGAAGGAACUGUUAGAUUUUGCAUGCAAAGAAAGCCAGAGUGGCUAGAUUACUCCCUUAGGGUAAUGGAGAAAGGAAAAAGAAAUUGAAAAAGGUCAGGUGAACAAAGCAGAAGGAAUGAAGAGGUUUGUGUGAUUCUUAGUGAAAUUGGACCAGUCUAAGCAACCAGACAGUGCAGUUCAGGAAACCAGGCUGAAGAACGUGAAGUAUAUCGCCCAAAGUCAGACACGAAGGAACAACUGCUUUGGAGCUAGCACAUUCCUGAGCUGGAAUUGCACCACUGGUCAAUGGGACUGCAGAAUCCAAACUGCUUUCUACCGGAACAACUCCUUCCCUGCAGGAAGCAGGGUGCUCAUGGCUGAACCAUGGUCUGAGAAGGUUGAUGAAGUCACUGACUCAGCCCCAGCAAGGAAGUUGUCCUUCGACUUCUGACCUCUGGCCAUGUUUGAAAACCAACUCAAAUCGUCUUUCUUUUUCAGAUUUGGAAACUUCUGCAGUUUCAAUCAAAGAAAUGGUGCUGGCAUUCAAAAGGAAGAUGGAGAAUUCACUGGAGAACUACAAUGGAACUUCAGUCCUGGUAACAGUAGCAAAGAAGUCAGCCAAAGGUCCGAAGAAGAGAAAAACUAAACAAGAGGAAGGAAGAAAAACCACAAGGAGUGAUUGGUCACCUGAAGACCAUUUCUGAUGAGCUGGAAUAUAAAGACAAGAAUCCCUGAAACGUCAAAAGAAGGCCUUGGAUAAAGAACGCAAAGCCCAAUUAAUCUGUGGGGAAAAUGCUUUUCUUUAUUAAUGGACUAUUUUAAAAUUUUUCAUGCCCUUCAUAAGGUUUUGGUCUCCUGAACGUAAGGGCUUAAUGCAACCAGUUUUGAAAUAUUUCCCAUCUUAAAAUUGGAAGACUUAUCCCUCAGACCAAGGCCUUUCUCCAUUCCAAGAGAUGUAAUCUUAUCUCUGUCCAAAUAGGGCACUACCCAGGAGAAAAGUGUGUGUGUGUGUGCCUGUGUGUGUGUGUUUAAGUCCACUCUUAUCAGCUUUGGAGGAGACUUCUUUGCAAACACACACACACACGCACACACACACACGGUUUUGACAUUACUGGUCUAACCACAUUGCAAUUGCAAUAAUGAAAAGCAGAAUGGGCAGAAGCCCAGGGGCUUUGGGUGUGUUUUCCAGAAUGGAUUACAAAAAUUGGUGGGAAAGAAAUAACUUCAUGUACAGAAAAGGAUUUGGAAAUAAGGGCAUCAAGAGCUUUCUGGGAAGAAAUGUGAACCAGAUGGAAGAACCCAAAAUUAAGAAUGAUGAUGAAAGGAAAGAAGUAGUUGUUUCUUAGAAGCAGUGGGGCAGGGAGGUGGGGGAAGAUGCGUCCAUUCUCUGUUACCUAGUUGUCAAGAUACUAGUAUGAGAGGAAGGGUGGUGCAGUGCAAACGACAUAAGAUUUGGGACUGUGUGAUCUGUGUUACUGUUCUUCUCCAGAUUUGCUUGCUCCAGCUGCCUCUGGGUGCUGGCCACUUGCUCAGCAGAGAAGCCUUGACCACUCCCUUUCCCCCGUCUCUUAACAUUGUCAGCUGUCCCAGCCU